GAGUUUGAUCCUGGCUCAGGAUGAACGCUGGCGGCGUGCUUAACACAUGCAAGUCGAACGGGAAAUAUUUCAUUGAGACUUCGGUGGAUUUGAUCUAUUUCUAGUGGCGGACGGGUGAGUAACGCGUGGGUAACCUGCCUCAAAGAGGGGGACAACAGUUGGAAACGACUGCUAAUACCGCAUAAGCCCACGACCCGGCAUCGGGAAGAGGGAAAAGGAGCAAUCCGCUUUGAGAUGGCCUCGCGUCCGAUUAGCUAGUUGGUGAGGUAACGGCCCACCAAGGCAACGAUCGGUAGCCGGACUGAGAGGUUGAACGGCCACAUUGGGACUGAGACACGGCCCAGACUCCUACGGGAGGCAGCAGUGGGGAAUAUUGCACAAUGGGGGAAACCCUGAUGCAGCGACGCCGCGUGGAGGAAGAAGGUCUUCGGAUUGUAAACUCCUGUUGUUGAGGAAGAUAAUGACGGUACUCAACAAGGAAGUGACGGCUAACUACGUGCCAGCCGCCGCGGUAAUAC
rnacentral:rRNA from 1 species